rnacentral:rRNA from 1 species
ACUUCAAUGAUGGAUGUCUAGGCUCUCGUAUCGAUGAAGAACGUAGCAACGAGCGAUACCAUAUGAUACGCGCUGCUUUCGUGAAUCAUUGAGUCUUCGAACGCAUCUUGCGCUCAUGGUUCGAGCCUGUGGAAGGCUGAGCAUGCCCUAUGAAGUG